AUUGAACGCUGGCGGCAGGCCUAACACAUGCAAGUCGAACGAGUGGCGGACGGGUGAGUAAUGUCUGGGAAACUGCCUGAUGGAGGGGGAUAACUACUGGAAACGGUAGCUAAUACCGCAUCCCAUCAGAUGUUCCCCGAUGGGAUUAGCUAGUAGGGGGGGUAAAGGCUACCCUAGGCGACGAUCCCUAGCUGGUCUGAGUGGAUGACGAGCCAGACUGUAACUGCGACACGGUCCAGAAUCCUACGUGAGGCAGCAGCGGGUAAGAGUGCACAAUGGGCGCAAGCCUGAUGCAGCCAUGCCGCGUGUAUGAAGAAGGCCUGCGGGUUGUAAAGUACUUUCAGCGGGGAGGCGUUACCCGCAGAAGAAGCACCGGCUAACUCCGUGCCAGCAGCCGCGGUAAUAC
rnacentral:rRNA from 1 species